rnacentral:rRNA from 1 species
UACGUAGGUCCCGAGCGUUGUCCGGAUUUAUUGGGCGUAAAGCGAGCGCAGGUGGUUUAUUAAGUCUGGUGUAAAAGGCAGUGGCUCAACCAUUGUAUGCAUUGGAAACUGGUAGACUCGAGUGUAGGAGAGGAGAGUGGAAUUCCAUGUGUAGCGGUGAAAUGCGUAGAUAUAUGGAGGAACACCGGUGGCGAAAGCGGCUCUCUGGCCUGUAACUGACACUGAGGCUCGAAAGCGUGGGGAGCAAACAGG